CGGAAGUAAACAUCCUGAUGCAUUCUUGUCAUGUGAAUGUUGAGAGCGUGUUCAUUUUUGAAAUCUCCUUUCUGACAGACAUAUUCUACAGGAUCAGCUGAGAUGUAAUCAAUCACUGGAUUAUUUAAUGGAUAGGCUUAUUGGGCAUAUAUUUGGAUAUCUCUGUCAUCAACAUGGAAUGUAUGACUUCAUCUUUUAUACAGUCGGGUUCGGGGUUUCGGGCGGCCAUGACGAAUUUCGGCAAGAUUUUACCCCAGUGAAAAAGGCUUGUAAUCCACAGUUCCUCAACCUGGAAGAUAUGUUUUGUUCCUAACCAUCUAUAAUCCAUUCUCUAUGAAGUGAAGCCUGGCUGCUCUUCCUUUGGAAAUACACAGUUAGUCAAUCAACAUAGAAACACACAAACUUGAAGGAUAUUCUAGUGAGGGCUUAUGGAAAUGAUCUAUGUCUACUCUCAGAAUGGUGAAAGACUAUCAGAUUAUGCAAAGACUAACAGGAUAUCCUCUCUUGGAACACUGAAACAAGAAAAUCAAACAGGAGGUGGAUGGAGGAUUUAAGAAGCAUGGUGAAAGACUAUCAGAUUAUGCAAAGACUAACAGAAUAUCCUCUCUUAAAACACUGAAACAAGAAAAUCAAACAGGAUGGAGGAUUUAAGAAGCACAUAGAUAAAUAUGAUUUCCAACCAAUUUAAGUACGAUCAUAGACUGUGCUUUACAGGAUGACAAAGAAAGGACCCAGGAUAGUAUCUUUUACUGUCAGACACUGACUAUGGAUAAGAUGUAGCCAUUUAUCAAACUGAGAUCUAGUCAAAUCAAGUAUUGAGAACAUGAUUUUCUGAUAACAUGAAUUUAUUCUCACCAACUUCAAAGUAUCUAUAUUUAUUUUUUUUAUUAUAUAUAUAUUAUAUAUAUAUUAUUAUAUAUAUUAUUUAUUAUAUAUGUAUUUAUUUUUACUAACUCAUAUUGAAGACAGUUGUUAUGUAAGAGAAGUAUACAUUUAAACCUUUUAUUUUUCAUCUUAUUUCUAUAACCCCUAACAAAUUACACAGAUGUUUUAGAAGCUAGCUUUGCUGUAAUUAUUACUUUCAUGGAAUUGUAAAUACAUUUUGUUUGUGUAUGUGUAUCCUAUUUUGAAUUUAAUAAGUCUCAAUAGGACCCCCUAAAGAUGCAAGUGUCCCCUAAUCUGUGAUGUAAUAAUAUCUUGAAUAUUUUUUAUCAUCCCAUAGACUUCAUGCUUACUUCACAGAACAGGUUAGAGUAAUGCACUUAGUUUUCUAGGACACUUCAUCAGGGUCAAAGCAUGAGAUUAUUGAUUCAGAGAUAACUACCUUUGAAAAUAAUUUGUAACAUACAAACUUCACAUCAUAAGUAAAGAAAGAUUCAGAGAUUUUCUAUAGAUUUUUGGAUCAUUUUUUUUUCAUGGGUUUUAUUUUCAGUUGUUGUAACUUUAACAAUUUGUGAUAACCUAGAGACUUUACAGGCAUAUUCUUUGGUAAAUCAUAUGCACUAUGUUCAAGGAUGUUUAAAGACUAUUACUAUGUAAUACCUUUGAAUUCUGUAAAAAUCUUUUCACUGCAUAGAUAAAAACUGGUUGGAAUAAUACAUGUUGACAAUAAUUUGCAACCUACAAACUUCACAUCAUAAGUAAAGAAAGAUUCAGAGAUUUUCUAUAGAUUUUUGGAUCAUUUUUUUUUCAUGGGUUUUAUUUUCAGUUGUUGUAACUUUAACAAUUUGUGAUAACCUAGAGACUUUACAGGCAUAUUCUUUGGUAAAUCAUAUGCACUAUGUUCAAGGAUGUUUAAAGACUAUUACUAUGUAAUACCUUUGAAUUCUGUAAAAAUCUUUUCACUGCAUAGAUAAAAACUGGUUGGAAUAAUACAUGUUGACAAUAAUUUGCAACCUACAAACUUCACAUCAUAAGUAAAGAAAGAUUCAGAGAUUUUCUAUAGAUUUUUGGAUCAUUUUUUUCAUGGGUUAUAUUUUCAGUUGUUUUAACUUUAACAAUUUGUGAUAACCUAGAGACUUUUUAUCAGCUUUAUUGGGUGGCAUGGCAUAUUCUUUGGUAAAUCAUAUGCACUAUGUUCAAGGAUGUUUAAAGGCUAUUACUAUGUAAUACCUUAGAAUUCUAUUAAAAUCUUAAUAUCACUGCAUAGAUAAAAACUGGUUGGAAUAAUACAUGUUGACAAUAAUUUGCAACCUACAAACUUCACAUCAUAAGUAAAGAAAGAUUCAGAGAUUUUCUAUAGAUUUUUGGAUCAUUUUUCUCCUGGAUUAUAUUUUCAGUUGUUGUAACUUUAACAAUUUGUGAUAACUUAUAGACUUUAUAAAAAUUAGGUGCAAAUUCUUAGGAAAAGAUUGAAAUGUUAAUCAAAUGUACAUGUUCAAGGGUGUAUAAAUGAUUAUUACUAUGUAAUACCUUAGAAGUCUGUUAAAAUUUUAUUAUCACUGCAUAGAUAAAGACUGGUUGGAAUAAUUUAUGUUUUGAAAUAAGGUUUAGGGAAAAAAGUCAAGACUGUGGAUAUGACUUUUAUUCAAAUGGUGCAGUACAGCAACUCUGGUGAUUUACAUACCUUCAGUCAUAAAUAGAUAGGUAUUGGGAAGACUCCUCUAGAUUUUGAAAUUUUUAAUUCAAAAGUAUAGAACUUUUUUUUAAGUUUGAAAGAUUAAAUGGCAGCAUAUCAUUUGCUUGUGAAUUUAAAAAAUAAAUCCAAACACAUACAUCUUUGGAUGAUAAUUAUAUAAUUUUAUCAAUUCCUGGACUUCGGUCUUGAUAUCAUCCUUUAAUGUCCUUAAAAUUUGAAGGACUGUCUUUUAGUUUUAGUUGAAUUAGUUUCUUUUCUACAUGUGAAAAUGACAUCAUCCAAAGAAGUUCUUUGUCUGCAUGUUAUAUGAAGAAGACAAUUUUCAUCACAGUGAAAGAGAUUGAUUUGUUAAAGAUAAUGCAUUGAUGCACAAAUAUAUUUUAAAAUUUUUUAAUAGCUAGGGUUUAUAUUUCUUUAUAUGGAAUGCUAAGUACUGUUGAUUUCAUUUUUUUGUGAACAAAGAUAUACUAGUAGAAAAAAUGUACAUGAUGUGUCAGAAAAGCAUGUGUAAACCUGAUGACUUUAUCAUUGCUGAUUAAAUCAAAUUAUGAGUUUCAUCUUUGUUACAUUGUAAACAUUUCUAAGUAGGGCACACACCAGAAACUCUUAAAAUUAUUAUAUCAGGGUUUAACACAACAAUUUCAAAUGAUUUUUGGACGCUUUUCAUGUAUCAGAAAGACAAAACAGAAUGUUUGUUCACAGAUGUUCCAAAGGAAAACAAACACAAAGAAAUGAUUUGUAAUGUUCUUUAUGUGAUUCAUGUAAAAUGUAUUUUAAAAGUGUACCCUAACA